UGGAUCCAGACUUUGAUUAUGGCUCAGGAUGAACGCUAGCUACAGGCUUAACACAUGCAAGUCGAGGGGAAACGACAUCGAAAGCUUGCUUUUGAUGGGCGUCGACCGGCGCACGGGUGAGUAACGCGUAUCCAACCUGCCCACCACUUGGGGAUAACCUUGCGAAAGUAAGACUAAUACCCAACGACAUCCCACGAAGGCAUCCGAAUGGGAUUAAAGAUUUAUCGGUGAUGGAUGGGGAUGCGUCUGAUUAGCUUGUUGGCGGGGUAACGGCCCACCAAGGCAACGAUCAGUAGGGGUUCUGAGAGGAAGGUCCCCCACAUUGGAACUGAGACACGGUCCAAACUCCUACGGGAGGCAGCAGUGAGGAAUAUUGGUCAAUGGGCGAGAGCCUGAACCAGCCAAGUAGCGUGCAGGAUGACGGCCCUAUGGGUUGUAAACUGCUUUUAUAAGGGAAUAAAGUGAGUCUCGUGAGACUUUUUGCAUGUACCUUAUGAAUAAGGACCGGCUAAUUCCGUGCCAGCAGCCGCGGUAAUACGGAAGGUCCGGGCGUUAUCCGGAUUUAUUGGGUUUAAAGGGAGCGUAGGCCGGAGAUUAAGCGUGUUGUGAAAUGUAGAGGCUCAACCUCUGCACUGCAGCGCGAACUGGUCUUCUUGAGUACGCACAACGUGGGCGGAAUUCGUGGUGUAGCGGUGAAAUGCUUAGAUAUCACGAAGAACUCCGAUUGCGAAGGCAGCUCACGGGAGCGCAACUGACGCUGAAGCUCGAAAGUGCGGGUAUCGAACAGGAUUAGAUACCCUGGUAGUCCGCACGGUAAACGAUGGAUGCCCGCUGUUGGCCUGAAUAGGUCAGCGGCCAAGCGAAAGCAUUAAGCAUCCCACCUGGGGAGUACGCCGGCAACGGUGCAACUCAAAGGAAUUGACGGA
rnacentral:rRNA from 2 species